rnacentral:lncRNA from 1 species
GGGGAGCUGGCCUGGGGCUCCAAUCUCACCCCGCCAAAUAGCCCUUGUGCCCCCCAAAAUUUUUUAUUGGGGCUGCCUCUCGGGUUCUACCUGGACUCCCAAUCAAAGGCAACUCAACACACCUGCCUUCAAUUGGAAGUCCCAAUCACCAACACAAACAUUCACACACACAAACUGCCACGUCCUGACCCCAAAACGAAUACAAUAGCUCCAUCUGCUGGUCAGGACAUGACAAUCGUAACUCCUAAACCAAAUCGUAACUCCUAAACCUAACCCUAACUCCUAAAUCUAAACCUAAACCUAACCAUAACUCCUAUACCUAAACCUAACCAUAACUCCUAUACCUAAACCUAAUCGUAACUCCUAAACCUAAUCGGAACUCCUAAACAUAAUCGUAACUCCUAAACCUAAUCGUAACUCCUAACCUUAUUUCUAACCCUAAAUGGAACCCCUGAGCCUAAAAUAGCAUUUUUUCUCAUGUGGAUCUUCAAAAUGUCCCCACUUGGCCACAUUUUCCUUGUUUUACUAUCCUUAUGAUGAUGCCUAGUACCCACAAGGACAGUUCAACAAAAACACACAGAGAGGAAGGGCUGUACAGUGAACACACUGAGUCACAUUUCAUAUAAAGAGACAUUCCCCUGGGGUCACUUGUCAACCAGGCAUACAUCCCUGACCUCUCCUUCCACAUCACACUGCAUUGUGUCCUACGCUAGAGAAUAGGAUGAUGUCAUUUCAUUAUAAUUGAUUGAUUGUUUAAUUAGUUUGCCAUUUGAGUGAAACUGGAAUACCUGGUUUUGGAUGGUGAUGUGAUCUUUAUGUAAAGGAAGGAAGGGGAAGCUGAAUGGUUGGCUGAGUGGAGGUCUCUAUGAUAAGAUAGGAGAACAGUGUGAUCUUUAUGUAAAGGAAGGAAGGGGGAGCUGAAUGGUUGGCUGAGUGGGGGUCUCUAUGAUAAGAUAGGAGAACAGUGUGAUCUUUAUGUAAAGGAAGGAAGGGGGAGCUGAAUGGUUGGCUGAGUGGGGGUCUCUAUGAUAAGAUAGGAGAACAGUGUGAUCUUUAUGUAAAGCAAGGAAGGGGGAGCUGAAUGGUUGGCUGAGUGGAGGUCUCUAUGAUAAGAUAGGGAGAACAGUGUGAUCUUUAUAGUGUUGUAGAGGAGGCUCUGUGGUGAGGACAAGGCCGCUGGAGGACGUCUGAAACCAUAGUUCUCCCUCAGGACCUAUUACUGACUGUAGAUCUACCAGAGCUGAGUCCCUCACUACAGCAGGUGUAGAUCUACCAGAGCUGAGUCUCUCACUACAGCAGGUGUAAAUCUACCAGAGCUGAGUCCCUCACUACAGCAGGUGUAGAUCUACCAGAGCUGAGUCUCUCACUACAGCAGGUGUAAAUCUACCAGAGCUGAGUCCCUCACUACAGCAGGUGUAGAUCUACCAGAGCUGAGUCCCUCACUACAGCAGGUGUAGAUCUACCAGAGCUGAGUCCCUCACUACAGCAGGUGGAGAUCUACCAGAGCUGAGUCCCUCACUACAGCAGGUGUAGAUCUACCAAAGCUGAGUCUCUCACUACAGCAGGUGUAGAUCUACCAGAGCUGAGUCUCUCACUACAGCAGGUGUAGAUCUACCAAAGCUGAGUCUCUCACUACAGCAGGUGUAAAUCUACCAAAGCUGAGUCUCUCACUACAGCAGGUGUAGAUCUACCAAAGCUGAGUCUCUCACUACAGCAGGUGUAGAUCUACCAAAGCUGAGUCCCUCACUACAGCAGGUGUAAAUCUACCAGAGCUGAGUCUCUCACUACAGCAGGUGGAGAUCUACCAGAGCUGAGUCCCUCACUACAGCAGGUGUAGAUCUACCAGAGCUGAGUCUCUCACUACAGCAGGUGUAGAUCUACCAGAGCUGAGUCCCUCACUACAGCAGGUGUAGAUCUACCAAAGCUGAGUCUCUCACUACAGCAGGUGUAAAUCUACCAGAGCUGAGUCUCUCACUACAGCAGAUGGUGUGUGUGUGUGUGUCGAUAUGAUAUAAGUGAUGACUCAUGAAUGAUGUUAAGAGGAAGUAGUAACCUAAAUAUAUCUCUCUGGCCUUCAUAUAGUUCCCUGUCUUAAUAUAUAUAUCUGGCCUUCAUAUAGUUCCCUGUCUUAAUAUAUCUCUCUGGCCGUCAUAUAGUUCCCUGUCUUAAUAUCGCUCUGGCCUUCAUAUAGUUCCCUGUCUUAAUAUAUAUAUCUGGCCUUCAUAUAGUUCCCUGUCUUAAUAUAUAUCUCUGGCCUUCAUAUAGUUCCCUGUCUUAAUAUAUCUCUCUGGCCGUCAUAUAGUUCCCUGUCUUAAUAUAUCUCUCUGGCCUUCAUAUAGUUCCCUGUCUUAAUAUAUCUCUCUGGCCUUCAUAUAGUUCCCUGUCUUAAUAUAUCUCUCUGGCCGUCAUAUAGUUCCCUGUCUUAAUAUAUCUCUCUGGCCUUCAUAUAGUUCCCUGUCUUAAUAUAUCUCUCUGGCCUUCAUAUAGUUCCCUGUCUUAAUAUAUCUCUCUGGCCUUCAUAUAGUUCGCUGUCUUAAUAUAUCUCUCUGGCCUUCAUAUAGUUCCCUGUCUUAAUAUAUCUCUCUGGCCUUCAUAUAGUUCCCUGUCUUAAUAUAUCUCUCUGGCCUUCAUAUAGUUCCUUGUCUUAAUAUAUCUCUCUGGCCGUCAUAUAGUUCCCUGUCUUAAUAUAUCUCUCUGGCCUUCAUAUAGUUCCCUGUCUUAAUAUAUCUCUCUGGCCUUCAUAUAGUUCCCUGUCUUACUCUGUACCCUGCCUCUCAUGUUCUCAGUGGCCCUGAGGCAAGGACAACAUGUUUUUGUUGGGUGGCGUUUGGACUAACUGAGCACGAAAACAACAGGUGGUGAGGUGUUGAGCAAGAAGUCUGAUCAACCAUGAUUACAAACACUUUAUGUGUUUCUCUUAAAACAUCCUUUCGUGUUUAUUUCAUUUACUGAUCAUUUGGUUUUGAGCUUAAUAAAAAAUGCCUGCCAGUAACAAAAGGAAAGGUUGUUGCAAGUUCACAGCUUUGUAUCCAUGGCGAUGAAGACUAUUUGCUGUCCAUAUAAUUAAGUCAUUCAGACAUAGCUGUUGUGUUUGGGGGUGUGUGUGUUCAUAGUGUGUGUGUGUGUG